CAGUAGCCGCGGUAAUACGAAGGGGGCUAGCGUUGUUCGGAUUUACUGGGCGUAAAGCGCACGUAGGCGGAUCGAUCAGUCAGGGGUGAAAUCCCAGAGCUCAACUCUGGAACUGCCUUUGAUACUGUCGAUCUGGAGUAUGGAAGAGGUGAGUGGAAUUCCGAGUGUAGAGGCGAAAUUCGUAGAUAUUCGGAGGAACACCAGUGGCGAAGGCGGCUCACUGGUCCAUUACUGACGCUGAGGUGCGAAAGCGUGGGGAGCAAACAAGAUUAGAUACCCCGGUAGUCCCUGUCUCUUAUAC
rnacentral:rRNA from 1 species